GAUGAACGCUGGCGGCGUGCCUAAUACAUGCAAGUCGAGCGAACAGACGAGGAGCUUGCUCCUCUGACGUUAGCGGCGGACGGGUGAGUAACACGUGGAUAACCUACCUAUAAGACUGGGAUAACUUCGGGAAACCGGAGCUAAUACCGGAUAAUAUAUUGAACCGCAUGGUUCAAUAGUGAAAGACGGUUUUGCUGUCUCUUAUAGAUGGAUCCGCGCCGCAUUAGCUAGUUGGUAAGGUAACGGCUUACCAAGGCUACGAUGCGUAGCCGACCUGAGAGGGUGAUCGGCCAAACUGGAACAGAGACACGGUACAGACUACUACGGGAGGCAGCAGUAGGGAAUAUUCCGCAAUGGGCGAAAGCCUGACGGAGCAACGCCGAGUGAGUGAUGAAGGUCUUCGGAUCGUAAAACUCUGUUAUUAGGGAAGAACAAAUGUGUAAGUAAAUAUGCACGUAUUGACGGUACCUAAUCAGAAAGCAACGGCUAACUACGUG
rnacentral:rRNA from 1 species